rnacentral:rRNA from 1 species
AGCAGCCGCGGUAAUUCCAGCUCCAAUAGCGUAUAUUAAAGUUGUUGCAGUUAAAAAGCUCGUAGUUGAAUUUCGGGAUCAAUAUGUUGGUCGUGCCUUGGUACGUACUGGCAUUAUUGGUUUCUCCCUUCUGACGAACCACGAUGUCAUUAAUUUGGUGUCAUGGGAAAUCAGGACUGUUACUUUAGAAAAAAUUAGAGUAGUUUAAAGCAAGCUCGCGCUUGAAUACAUUAGCAUGGAAUAAUGAAAUAGGACGUUUGAUUCUAUUUUGUUGGUUUCUAGGAUCGACGUAAUGAUUAAUAGGGAUAGUUGGGGGCAUUAGUAUUCAAUUGUCAGAGGUGAAAUUCUUGGAUUUAUUGAAGACUAACUACUGCGAAAGCAUUUGCCAAGGAUGUUUUCAUUAAUCAAGAACGAAAGUU